rnacentral:rRNA from 1 species
UUAAGCGACUAAGCGUACACGGUGGAUGCCCUGGCAGUCAGAGGCGAUGAAGGACGUGCUAAUCUGCGAAAAGCGUCGGUAAGGUGAUAUGAACCGUUACAGCCGGCGAUGUCCGAAUGGGGAAACCCAGUGCAAUUCGUUGCACUAUCGUUAACUGAAUACAUAGGUUAACGAGGCGAACCGGGGGAACUGAAACAUCUAAGUACCCCGAGGAAAAGAAAUCAACCGAGAUUCCCCCAGUAGCGGCGAGCGAACGGGGAGCAGCCCGGAGUCUGAAUCAGCUUGUGUGUUAGUGGAAGCGUCUGGAAAGUCGCAGGGUACAGGGUGAUACUCCCGUACACUAAAACACACAGGUUGUGAACUCGAAGAGUAGGGCGGGACACGUGGUAUCCUGUCUGAAUAUGGGGGGACCAUCCUCCAAGGCUAAAUACUCCUGACUGACCGAUAGUGAACCAGUACCGUGAGGGAAAGGCGAAAAGAACCCCGGCGAGGGGAGUGAAAAAGAACCUGAAACCGUGUACGUACAAGCAGUAGGAGCCCACUGGUUGGGUGACUGCGUACCUUUUGUAUAAUGGGUCAGCGACUUAUAUUCUGUAGCAAGGUUAACCGUAUAGGGGAGCCGCAGGGAAACCGAGUCUUAACUGGGCGUUAAGUUGCAGGGUAUAGACCCGAAACCCGGUGAUCUAGCCAUGGGCAGGUUGAAGGUUGGGUAACACUAACUGGAGGACCGAACCGACUAAUGUUGAAAAAUUAGCGGAUGACUUGUGGCUGGGGGUGAAAGGCCAAUCAAACCGGGAGAUAGCUGGUUCUCCCCGAAAGCUAUUUAGGUAGCGCCUCGUGAACUCAUCUUCGGGGGUAGAGCACUGUUUCGGCUAGGGGGUCAUCCCGACUUACCAACCCGAUGCAAACUACGAAUACCGAAGAAUGUUAUCACGGGAGACACACGGCGGGUGCUAACGUCCGUCGUGAAGAGGGAAACAACCCAGACCGCCAGCUAAGGUCCCAAAGUCAUGGUUAAGUGGGAAACGAUGUGGGAAGGCCCAGACAGCCAGGAUGUUGGCUUAGAAGCAGCCAUCAUUUAAAGAAAGCGUAAUAGCUCACUGGUCGAGUCGGCCUGCGCGGAAGAUGUAACGGGGCUAAACCAUGCACCGAAGCUGCGGCAGCGACACUAUGUGUUGUUGGGUAGGGGAGCGUUCUGUAAGCCGUUGAAGGUGGCCUGUGAGGGUUGCUGGAGGUAUCAGAAGUGCGAAUGCUGACAUAAGUAACGAUAAUGCGGGUGAAAAACCCGCACGCCGGAAGACCAAGGGUUCCUGUCCAACGUUAAUCGGGGCAGGGUGAGUCGACCCCUAAGGCGAGGCCGAAAGGCGUAGUCGAUGGGAAACAGGUUAAUAUUCCUGUACUCGGUGUUACUGCGAAGGGGGGACGGAGAAGGCUAUGUUGGCCGGGCGACGGUUGUCCCGGUUUAAGCAUGUAGGCGGAUGUUCCAGGUAAAUCCGGAACGUUAUCAACGCUGAGGUGUGAUGACGAGGCACUACGGUGCUGAAGUGACAAAUGCCCUGCUUCCAGGAAAAGCCUCUAAGCAUCAGGUAACAUCAAAUCGUACCCCAAACCGACACAGGUGGUCAGGUAGAGAAUACCAAGGCGCUUGAGAGAACUCGGGUGAAGGAACUAGGCAAAAUGGUGCCGUAACUUCGGGAGAAGGCACGCUGAUGGUAGGUGAAGCGACUUGCUCGUGGAGCUGAAAUCAGUCGAAGAUACCAGCUGGCUGCAACUGUUUAUUAAAAACACAGCACUGUGCAAACACGAAAGUGGACGUAUACGGUGUGACGCCUGCCCGGUGCCGGAAGGUUAAUUGAUGGGGUUAUCCUCACGGAGAAGCUCUUGAUCGAAGCCCCGGUAAACGGCGGCCGUAACUAUAACGGUCCUAAGGUAGCGAAAUUCCUUGUCGGGUAAGUUCCGACC